GGGCCCGCACAAGCGGCGGAGCAUGCGGAUUAAUUCGAUGCAACGCGAAGAACCUUACCUGGGUUUGACAUAUACCGGAAACACCUAGAGAUAGGUGCCCCGCAAGGUCGGUAUACAGGUGGUGCAUGGCUGUCGUCAGCUCGUGUCGUGAGAUGUUGGGUUAAGUCCCGCAACGAGCGCAACCCUCGUUCUAUGUUGCCAGCGGUUCGGCCGGGGACUCAUAGAAGACUGCCGGGGUCAACUCGGAGGAAGGUGGGGAUGACGUCAAGUCAUCAUGCCCCUUAUGUCCAGGGCUUCACGCAUGCUACAAUGGCUGGUACAAAGGGCUGCAAUACCGCAAGGUGGAGCGAAUCCCAUAAAGCCAGCCCGGUUCGGAUUGGGGUCUGCAACUCGACCCCAUGAAGUCGGAGUCGCUAGUAAUCGCAGAUCAGCAACGCUGCGGUGAAUACGUUCCCGGGCCUUGUACACACCGCCCGUCAAGUCAUGAAAGUCGGUAACACCCGAAGCCGGUGGCCUAACCCUUGUGGAGGGAGCCGUCGAAGGUGGGACCGGUAAUUAGGACUAAGUCGUAACAAGGUAGCCGUACCGGAAGGUGCGGCU
rnacentral:rRNA from 1 species